CCUACGGGAGGCAGCAGUGAGGAAUAUUGGUCAAUGGACGAGAGUCUGAACCAGCCAAGUAGCGUGAAGGAUGACUGCCCUAUGGGUUGUAAACUUCUUUUAUAUGGGAAUAAAAUGUUCCACGUGUGGGAUUUUGCAUGUACCAUAUGAAUAAGGAUCGGCUAACUCCGUGCCAGCAGCCGCGGUAAUACGGAGGAUCCGAGCGUUAUCCGGAUUUAUUGGGUUUAAAGGGAGCGUAGGCGGAUGGUUAAGUCAGGUGUGAAAGGUUGGGGCUCAACCGUAAGAUUGCAGUUGAAACUGGAAGUCUUGAGUGCAGGAGAGGUAGGCGGAAUUCGUGGUGUAGCGGUGAAAUGCUUAGAUAUCACGAAGAACUCCGAUUGCGAAGGCAGCUCACUGGACUGCAACUGACGCUGAGGCUCGAAAGUGUGGGUAUCAAACAGGAUUAGAUACCCGUGUAGUC
rnacentral:rRNA from 1 species